rnacentral:lncRNA from 1 species
GGUAUGCUAGCUCACCUUUCAUGCUCCAAUCCAAUAUUAGGGCAUAAGCUGGAAAGUUAUUUAUUAUCCACAUAAGCACUAUGUGCAUAGAAAAUGACUCGUUCAUCAAAGCAUCAAAAAUUGAAACACCCUGAACCCACAACUAUUUCAACUCGGUAAUAAAAGACUACAAAUAGACAUCAAUAUCAUUUUCUACCUCCAUCG